rnacentral:rRNA from 1 species
UAACGUAGACGAAAGUUACGCUAAUACCGCAUACGAUCUAAGGAUGAAAGCGGGGGAUCGCAAGACCUCGCGCGAUUGGAGCGGCCGAUAUCAGAUUAGGUAGUUGGUGAGGUAAAGGCUCACCAAGCCAACGAUCUGUAGCUGGUCUGAGAGGACGACCAGCCACACUGGAACUGAGACACGGUCCAGACUCCUACGGGAGGCAGCAGUGGGGAAUUUUGGACAAUGGACGCAAGUCUGAUCCAGCCAUUCCGCGUGCAGGAUGAAGGCCCUCGGGUUGUAAACUGCUUUUGUACGGAACGAAAAGGUUUCUAUUAAUACUAGGAGCUCAUGACGGUACCGUAAGAAUAAGCACCGGCUAACUACGUG